rnacentral:rRNA from 1 species
UACAGAGGUCUCAACCGUUGUUCGGAUUUAUUGGGCGUAAAGGGUGCGUAGGCGGCGGAGUAAGUUGGGUGUGAAAUCCCGGGGCUCAACCUCGGAAUUGCAUUCAAUACUGCUUCGCUCGAGUACUGGAGAGGAGGCUGGAAUUUACGGUGUAGCAGUGAAAUGCGUAGAUAUCGUAAGGAAGGCCGGUGGCGAAAGCGAGCCUCUGGACAGUUACUGACGCUGAUGCACGAAGGCCAGGGGAGCAAACAGG